UACGAAGGGGGCUAGCGUUGUUCGGAAUUACUGGGCGUAAAGGGCGCGUAGGCGGUGCCUCAAGUCAGGCGUGAAAUCCCUCGGCUUAACCGGGGAACUGCGUCUGAUACUGGAUGGCUUGAGUUCGGGAGAGGGAUGCGGAAUUCCAGGUGUAGCGGUGAAAUGCGUAGAUAUCUGGAGGAACACCGGUGGCGAAGGCGGCAUCCUGGACCGACACUGACACUGAGGAGCGAAAGCCAGGGGAGCAAACGGG
rnacentral:rRNA from 1 species